UUACGGCCAUAUCACGUUAAAAUACCAGUUGUCGUCACCGAUCACCGAAGUUAAGCAACGUUGAACCAAGUCAGUACCUAGAUGGGUGACCGUCUGCGAAUAUCA